rnacentral:rRNA from 1 species
ACGGGAGGCAGCAGUGAGGAAUAUUGGUCAAUGGACGAGAGUCUGAACCAGCCAAGUAGCGUGCAGGAUGACGGCCCUAUGGGUUGUAAACUGCUUUUGUACGGGAAUAAAGUGACCUACGUGUAGGUUUUUGCAUGUACCGUAAGAAUAAGGACCGGCUAAUUCCGUGCCAGCAGCCGCGGUAAUACGGAAGGUCCGGGCGUUAUCCGGAUUUAUUGGGUUUAAAGGGAGCGUAGGCGGGCCUUUAAGUCAGUGGUAAAAGCGUGUGGCUCAACCAUACCACGCCAUUGAAACUGGAGGCCUUGAGUGCACACAGGGAUGCUGGAAUUCGUCGUGUAGCGGUGAAAUGCUUAGAUAUGACGAAGAACUCCGAUCGCGAAGGCAGGUGUCCGGGGUGUAACUGACGCUGAGGCUCGAAAGUGCGGGUAUCAAACAGGAUUAGAUACCCUGGUA